GAGUGUAUGGCGCAAUAGGCAGACGCGUCUGAUUUAGGAUCAGAAUAUUGUGGGUUCGAAUCCUACUACACUCA
rnacentral:tRNA from 1 species